rnacentral:rRNA from 1 species
UACGAAGGGGGCUAGCGUUGUUCGGAAUUACUGGGCGUAAAGCGUGCGCAGGCGGCUUCUCAAGUCAGGGGUGAAAGCCCAGAGCUCAACUCUGGAAUUGCCUUUGAGACUGAGGGGCUUGAGUACGAGAGAGGUGAGUGGAAUUCCCAGUGUAGAGGUGAAAUUCGUAGAUAUCGAGAGGAACACCUGUGGCGAAGGCGGCCUUCUGGACGGUGACUGACGCUGAGACGCGAAAGCGUGGGGAGCAAACAGG